rnacentral:lncRNA from 1 species
CCAGGGUCACAGCCUGAACCAAUGGGUGGGCUAUGUGAGUGUGUGAGUGCGGCGGCGCGGCGGUACGAACGGGGGAGGGACACAUUCCUCAGCUCGGCUCUCCCUGCGCGCUGCUACCGGGAGGGGUUUUAAGUUCACAGGAUGGCCAGCAGGAGCAACAUCACUCAAACACGCUUAUGAGGAAACAUCAUGACACCCUGUGACGCACUGCUGAACUUUUGGGAGCUGGAGAGCAUGAAUCAGAAGCACUACUGGUCUUUGAAAAAGAUACGCCUCGAGAAAGAACAUCAAGUACUGGCCCAACAGAACCAUGAAGGGAACUGCCACUGAUUGCCUUUAUUGUCUUGACAUCCUAUAUUGCGGCAGGUGUUGUGUAUGCGUCGCGAUGUGCAUUGUGUCUUGGGCCACUAGGUUGCAGGGGCUCACCCCCUACCUGCUCAGUCAUUGGUUCAUGCUGUGAAGGGGUGGAGUGUAGUGGAAUUCCAGGGUCACAGCCUGAACCAAUGGGUGGGCUCUGUGAGUGUGUGAGUGCGGCGGCGUGGCGGUACGAACGGGGGAGGGACACAUUCCUCAGCUCGGCUCUGCCUGAGCGCUGCUACCGGGAGGGGUGAGUCGAUUCUUUUUGAUAUCUUUCCCUCGUGUGCCUAUUUCUCAAAUAAAGGUUCUAUCAUUACCUUCAUUUGUUCUACAACUGUCAAUCUCUCUGCACAUCUCUGGAUUUAGGUGAUAAAGGUACAUUUUCUAGACAGUGAAAGGUCUUGCUAUACCUCAUCAAAUAGUGCAAAGAUGUUGGAAGUCUCUGUGGAACACAGUGCAUUGUUAAAUCAUGGAUUAAAAAAAAAAAUGGGGCAAACUUCCUAAAUGCCUGUUUUCUUUGAAAUUGAAUGAAAAUGAAUUGAAAUUGCUUUUACAUUCCAUAAAUGUGCCUGUGCAGCAGGUGCACACUUACUAACUUUGAGAUAUACUACACAGAUUAUCUUUCAUCUACAGAAAAAGACCUGUUACAGAAACUUGGCUUCUGGAACAUACAUCCAGUAGUACAUCUAACUUUUGGUGAUAGGGGUUGAAUAUCACUGAACACAUUAUGUGAGAUAGGUAACUUGUGUCCAUAGAUGUUGAAGGAACAUUAUCACUGUAGUGUCACUUCCCCUAAGUUCCUGACCAUUUAAUUCACAGUGUGUUGCCAAAUGUUUUAAAAAAACUGUUGUUAUAUAUCUGCUUCUAAAAUGCAAAAUCUAACAAAAAUGCAACCCCACUGCAUAUAUGAUGAUUUACUUGUUUGUUGGUCAGCUAUUCAUUUUUCAUUACAGUAUUUUCAGCUUCAGACAGAAACAUUCACAUGUCUAUAUCCAUUCUUUCAAUUUGAUCCUCUGUAGAUGUGAAGUCCACAUUCAAGUAUUCAGCUGAUUCACUAAUUAUACAACAGCUGAGCCUUUACAGGAUAACCAUUAAGAAACUGCCCAGUUCUCUUAAUCUAACCACAUCAGAGGAGUUUACAUAUCUUCAAGAGUAUCUAACAGAUAAUAAUUCAGCAGUGCAAAUACAACGGUGUCUCAGAGCUUGGGGAAAGUGCUAAGGUAUUUCAUAACACACAUAUUUGAAUAAACUUAACACACCCUAUUGUUUUUAAUCAUUUAAAUAGUUCAUUUGCUUUUUCAUAGGAUAGGAAAAAAAUAAAUUAGCACUAAGAGUGUAAAGGACAUUUUAAAAAGGUGAGACAUCUGCAGCCACUGUUAUCAAACUGAAACACAUAGUUCAAGCUUUCACAGUUUCUUCCCAUUUGUA